rnacentral:lncRNA from 1 species
UUUUUUUUUUUUUUUUCAGACAGAAUCUCGUUCUGUCACCCAGGCUAGAGUGCAGUGGUGCGAUCUCAGCUCACCGCAAACUCUGCCUCCUGGGCCUCAGCCACCCGAGUAGCUGGGAUUACAGGUGUGUACCACCACUCCUGGCCAAUUUUUGUAUUUUUAGUAGAGACAGAGAUUUGCCAUGUUGGCCAAGCUGGUCUUGAACUCCUGGCCUCAAGUGAUCCACCCACCUCGGCCUCCCAAAGUGCUGGGAUUACAGGUAUGAACCACCACACCUGGCCAGGUUUCAUCUUUAAAGUGUCCAGCUCUGACCAUCUGUGUAGUAAAGAAUUAGGCAGCCUUUGUCUUUGGUUUCUGGGAAGUAACCCCUAAUCCUUUGGAAUUUCCUGAGUGAUAGGAGUAUUCAUUAUUCAUGGUAGACCCCAGGGAUCCCACUUGAUAGUUUCUGCUAACACAGUGACUCAUGGAGGACCCCUGGAUAGUUUGUUUGCAAGAGACAGGCUGAGAGCUGGCCACACGGAAAAGCCAACCAUGUAGUUAGAGUUGGGGCUUUUGAGUCAUGUGAUACCAGUCCAACUUCCAGGAAGGAAAAGGGGGCUAGAGGGUGAGUUCAACCACAUAGCCAGUGAUUCAAUCAUGCCUAAAUAACGAAGCCUCAAUAAAAACUCUUGAUACCAAAGCUCAGGAGAGGUCCCUGGUCAGAGUAUUGUCAUGCUUUGACACUGCGAGGGCAAUGUGUCCCUGAGAAUGAGGGAAGCUUCACAUUUGGAACCCUCCCAGACUUUGCCCCAGGCACCUCUUGUUUCUGGUUUGUCCUUUUUGCUAUAAUAGAACUGCAAUCGUAACAUAGCUUUUUCUGGAGUUCUGUGAGUUGUUCUAACAAAUUACUGAGCAGAGAGAGGCUGUGGGAAACUCCAAAUUUGCAGCCAGCUAGUUAGAAGUAAGGAUGGCCUGGGGACCCCUGAACUUGCUGCUGGUGUCUGAGGGCAGUUUUGUGGAGGAAUGUGCCCUUAAUGUUGAGUUCCCAUUUGUUAAGUGUACAAUUCAAGAGUUUUUGGUAGGUUCACAGAACUGUGCAGCUGUCAUCCCCAACAUCUUUUUUGAACUUUCAAAUUUCUGAUCUGGUUCAAUCAAAAAGGAACCUCCAAUCCAGGUUCAUGCACUGGAUUUGAUUAUUUCAUUUAGAACACAAUUUUUUUUAAAUUUUAAUAUUAGUGACUUUUUUUUUUUGAGACAGGGUCUUGCUUACUUCUGUUGCCCAGGCUGGAGUGCAGUGGUGCGAUCACAGUUCACUGCAGCCUCAACCUCCUGGGGUCAAGUAAUCCUCCCACCUCAGCUUCCCAAGCAGCUGGGACCACAGGUGCGCAUCACCACGUCCAGCUAAUUAAAAAAAAUUUUUUUUGUAGAGAUGGGGGUCUCACUAUGUUGCUCAGGCUGGUUGCAAACUCCUGGG